UGGGGAAUUUUGGACAAUGGGGGAAACCCUGAUCCAGCCAUCCCGCGUGUGCGAUGAAGGCCUUCGGGUUGUAAAGCACUUUUUGCAGGAAAGAAACGUCAUGGGUUAAUACCCCGUGAAACUGACGGUACCUGCAGAAUAAGCACCGGCUAACUACGUGCCAGCAGCCGCGGUAAUACGUAGGGUGCAAGCGUUAAUCGGAAUUACUGGGCGUAAAGCGUGCGCAGGCGGUUCGGAAAGAAAGAUGUGAAAUCCCAGAGCUCAACUUUGGAACUGCAUUUUUACCUAACGGGCUAGAGUGUGGCGGAGGGAGGUGGAAUUCCGCGUGUAGCAGUGAAAUGCGUAGAUAUGCGGAGGAACACCGAUGGCGAAGGCAGCCUCCUGGGAUAACACUGACGCUAAUGCACGAAAGCGUGGGGAGCAAACAGG
rnacentral:rRNA from 1 species